AGUGAGUGAACCAUGGUGGGACUCUGGAGUGAGCAGGAGUGUUCUGGGGAACGGCUGCAGCUCCCUGGGUGAGACCAGGCCUGAACAGAUGGUGGGCCACUCCCAGUCCAAGGCCUGACUUCCACAGUGCUUCGUGGCUUUGGCCAAAUGGCAGUUGUGGAAUCUGUGCACAUGAAGCCUCUCAAGGAGACCAUGGGAUGGCUCCUGAGAGCAGCAGUCCUGGCUGAUGCUGAGCUCCUGGCUGAACUCCAUCCCACAGCUGCCCCGUGCGGGAGGCAAAGGCUGUUCCUGCUGCACUGUGCUGCCCUGCUCAGCACUGCCUUCUGCACCUUCUGCACCUCGCCCAUCCCAGCAGGGUCUGCAGGACGGCCCUGCCCUGGCAGCAGCUGUGCUGGUUCCUGGCUGCUCCACACCGUGGAUGCAUUUCAGCAGCAGGAGUGGGGCUCC
rnacentral:lncRNA from 1 species